rnacentral:misc_RNA from 1 species
CCUUCUUUCGUCCCCCUUCCCUUACCUCGCUUCCUUCUCACCUCAUUCCGGUAAUACGGCGUGAGGGUUGUUGCGAGACCCACAGCCACUUUCAUAUGAAAAGUGGUGCAACCACCAUGUGGAGCAACUGCAAGCAAACAAGAGCAAGAAAGAAGUCAGAGGCGAGGCUAUCUGCAGAGCUCAGUCCGUUGCGACUUCUCUUUUCCUUUCGCACGCCUUGACAAGCACUGUCAUGCACGCAGAUCUAGCGACCAGACUGUGACGAUCGCAAAGAAAGGACGAAAGAAAACACAAGCGGACUGAAGUCGACAAUCAUCUACGAGUAGGCGCUGUCGUUUCCUUUCCUCCUGCUGGCAUCUCCUUUGUUUCCCGUCGUUCAAACACAUACAUACACACACCCCAUUCCUCCCUCCAUCUGGCCUUUCAUCUCCUUUCUGCCUGCUCCCUCCAACCCACUGUUGCCUUGUUCUUUUGCGACGUACACACACACACACACACUCGCUAUGAGGUUACAUCUCCAAUGGCUUACUUGCAUGAG